UACGGAGGAUGCAAGCGUUAUCCGGAAUUAUUGGGCGUAAAGCGUCCGCAGGUGGUUUAUCAAGUCUGCUGUCAAAGCGCGAGGCUUAACUUCGUAAAGGCAGUGGAAACUGAUAGACUGGAGUGCGGUAGGGGCAGAGGGAAUUCCCAGUGUAGCGGUGAAAUGCGUAGAUAUUGGGAAGAACACCGGUGGCGAAGGCGGCGACCUGGUCCGUGACUGACGCUGAGGCGCGAAAGCGUGGGGAGCAAACAGG
rnacentral:rRNA from 1 species